GGGGGAUAAAUUAAUAAAGUAUAAAUAAUAAAAAAAUUUUUAAUAUUAAAAUAUUUUAAUGGGGGUUAAAGUAUGUUUAAUAGAAAAAAUAAAAAAAUUUAUAGAAAAUUAGUAUUGUAAAAGAAAUUUGAAAUAUAUUGAAAAUAAAUUUAUUUAAAAGUAAAUUUAAUUUAUUGUAUCUUGUGUAUCAGAGUUUAUUAAUAAUAAUUUUUAUAUAUAAAAUUUUCUCGAAUUUAAAAGAGAUAAUUAAUUAUUAAAAUUAAUGUUGUAUAAUUAUUUUAAAUAAUUAAUUGGAAAUGAGAUGUUAAUCGUUUUUAAAUAUAUCUAGUUUUUUUAGAAAAAAAUUUAAUUUUAAAUUUUAAAAAGAAUAUAAUUUUAAUUAAUUAAAAUUAUAUUUUUAAAAUUAAAUAUUUUAAGGGAUAAGCUUUAAAAUAAAUUUUUAUAAUAAAUUUUAACAAUAAUUAAAAUUUUUAAAAUUUAUAUUGUUUAUAAAUUAUAAUUUUUUAUAAAUAAUUUUAAUUAAAUUAAAAUUUUAAAUUUAUUUAAUUUUUUAUUAAAAAAUAUUUUUUAAUAAUUAAAAUUUAGAUAUAAUGAUAAAAUUAGUAUAUAAAUGAAUAAAUAAUAUAGUUUAUUAUUUGAUAAUUUAAUAAAAGGAAUUCGGCAAAAAUUAUAUUCACUUGUUUAUCAAAAACAUGUCUUUUUGGUUAAUAAUUUAAAGUCUAAUCUGCCCACUGAUAAUAUAUUAAAGGGCUGCAGUAUUUUGACUGUACAAAGGUAGCAUAAUCAUUAGUCUCUUAAUUGGUGACUUGUAUGAAAGAUUUGAUGAGAUAUAUACUGUCUCUUUUUAAUUUAUAAAAUUUAAUUUUUUAGUUAAAAAGCUAAAAUAUAUUUAAAAGACGAGAAGACCCUAUAGAGUUUUAUAUUUAUAUAAAUUAAAAUUUUUUAUAAACUUUAAAAUUUUAAUUUAUAUAAAUAUUUUGUUGGGGUGAUAAAAAAAUUAAAAUAACUUUUUUUAUAAUUUUACAUUAAUAAAUGAAUAAAUGAUCCGUAAUUUACGAUUAUAAGAUAAAAUUACCUUAGGGAUAACAGCGUAAUUUUUUUUUUUAGUUCAAAUAAGAAAAAAAGUUUGCGACCUCGAUGUUGGAUUAAGAUAAAAUUUAAAUGCAAAAGUUUAAAAUUUUUGAUCUGUUCGAUCAUUAAAAUCUUACAUGAUCUGAGUUCAAACCGGUGUAAGCCAGGUUGGUUUCUAUCUUUAGAUUAAUAAAAUAUUUUAGUACGAAAGGAUCAAAUAUUUAAAAUAGUUUUAUUUAAAAGAAUUUUAAUAAUAGUAGAUAUUUUUAAAUAUG
rnacentral:rRNA from 1 species